rnacentral:rRNA from 1 species
AGUGAACGCUGGCGGUAGGCCUAACACAUGCCAGUCGAACGGCAGCACAGUAAGAGCUUGCUCUUACGGGUGGCGAGUGGCGGACGGGUGAGGAAUACAUCGGAAUCUACUUUUUCGUGGGGGAUAACGUAGGGAAACUUACGCUAAUACCGCAUACGACCUACGGGUGAAAUCAGUGGAGCUUCGGACCUUGCGCGAUUGAAUGAGCCGAUGCCGGAUUAGCUAGUUGGCGGGGUAAAGGCCCACCAAGGCGACGAUCCGUAGCUGGUCUGAGAGGAUGAUCAGCCACACUGGAACUGAGACACGGUCCAGACUCCUACGGGAGGCAGCAGUGGGGAAUAUUGGACAAUGGGCGCAAGCCUGAUCCAGCCAUACCGCGUGGGUGAAGAAGGCCUUCGGGUUGUAAAGCCCUUUUGUUGGGAAAGAAAAGCAGCAGGUUAAUACCCCGCUGUUCUGACGGUACCCAAAGAGUAAGCACCGGCUAACUUCGUG